rnacentral:misc_RNA from 1 species
GAUGAAGAACGUAGCGAAAUGCGAUACGUAAUGUGAAUUGCAGAAUUCAGUGAAUCAUCGAAUCUUUGAACGCACAUUGCGCCCGCCAGCACUCUGGCGGGCAUGCCUGUUCGAGCGUCAUUUCAACCAUCAAGCCCCAGGCUUGCGUUGGAGCCCUGCGGCUGCCGCAGCCUCCUAAAAGCAGUGGCGGGCUCGCUAUCACACCGAGUGCAGUAGAUUACUCUUCGCUCAGGGCGUGCAGCGGGUUCCGGCCGUGAAACCCCCUACUUUUAAAGGUUGACCUCGGAUCAGGUAGGAAUACCCGCUGAACUUAAGCAUACAAUAAGCGGAGGA